GCCUGCGGGCUUGGUGCAGCGGUGCUGUGGAAGUCAUCUCAGCACACGCAGGCCUUGGCCCCAGCAAGACCAGACCCAGGUACGGACUGAGCAUGCUCAGUCCUGGGGCGUUCCUGGUAGCUCUGCUGACCAGCCAACCUGACGCCAGCUGCCCCGGCCUCGUGUCCACGUGCAGUGUGGGCAGCCACCAGCUGAUGGGGUCACCUGAGGUCCAGAUGCUGCCCAGGCUCUUGGCCUGGGAUGGACCAGCUGGACGUGGACAGCCACCUAGCGCAGUGCUUGGCUGAGGGCAUGGAGGACGUGGCGUGGUGAGCUGCUGCCUCGGGGGCCCUGGGAGGCCCGUGCUGGGUGCUGCCGUCCGCUCACAGCACCUUUACUCCAGGAUGUGAGCUGCUCCCGAAGGCCCGCCUUGUUGCUGACCCAAAUACACGUGCGUCUGACUUAA